CCGGAAUUCAGGAGGGUAACCUACAGAG
rnacentral:piRNA from 1 species